UCCCGCUUGCACGGGCAGUUCCGGAAGAGUGCCCGACUUUACGCUGGCAACAUCCGGUGAGGGUUGCGCUCGUUGCGGGACUUAACCCAACAUCUCACGACACGAGCUGACGACAGCCAUGCAACACCUGUCUUUGUGUCCCCGAAGGGAGGACUCACUUUCAUGAGUUUACACGCGAUGUCAAGCCUGGGUAAGGUUCUUCGGUUAGUGACGAAUUAAACCACAUGCUCCACCGCUUGUGCGGGCCCCCGUCAAUUCAUUUGAGUUUUAACCUUGCGGCCGUACUCCCCAGGCGGUCAACUUAAUGCGUUAGCUGCGCCACUAAGAGCUCAAGGCUCCCAACGGCUAGUUGACAUCGUUUACGGCGUGGACUAC
rnacentral:misc_RNA from 1 species